UACGAAGGGGGCUAGCGUUGCUCGGAAUCACUGGGCGUAAAGGGUGCGUAGGCGGGUCUUUUAAGUCAGGGGUGAAAUCCUGGAGCUCAACUCCAGAACUGCCUUUGAUACUGGCGAUCUAGAGUCCGGAAGAGGUGAGUGGAACUCCUAGUGUAGAGGUGGAAUUCGUAGAUAUUAGGAAGAACACCAGUGGCGAAGGCGGCUCACUGGUCCGGUACUGACGCUGAGGUGCGAAAGCGUGGGGAGCGAACAGG
rnacentral:rRNA from 1 species